rnacentral:rRNA from 1 species
AUUGAACGCUGGCGGCCGGCCUAACACAUGCAAGUCGAACGAGUGGCGGACGGGUGAGUAAUGUCUGGGAAACUGCCUGAUGGAGGGGGACAACUACUGGAAACGGUAGCUAAUACCGCAUACCAUCAGAGGAGCCCAGAUGGGAUUAGCUAGUUGGUUGGGUAACGGCUCACCAAGGCGACGAUCCCUAGCUGGUCUGAGAGGAUGACCAGCCACACUGGGACUGAGACCCGGUCCAGACUCCUACGUGAGGCAGCAGUGGGGAAUAUUGCACAAUGGGCGCAAGCCUGAUGCAGCAAUGCCGCGUGUAUGAAGAAGGCCUUCGGGUUGUAAAGUACUUUCAGCGGGGAGGCGUUACCCGCAGAAGAAGCACCGGCUAACUCCGUGCCAGCAGCCGCGGUAAUUC